rnacentral:lncRNA from 1 species
GGCUUCAAUAUUAAUAUCAUAGAAAGAAUGGGUGAAAUAUAAUAAUAGUGAACAAAACAUGACAUGAUUAGAUCUAAAUCCAAUCCAAAUAAGCUUGGAUUAGAUCGUACUUUUAAGUUCGAUUUUGGAUAAAUCGAUUUGGAUAUUUUGAGUUUUCGAUAUAGUUUGAGGGUGCAAGUUUGUUGAGCUACUGUUGCUGCUUAAAAAUAUUCUAGUUAAAUUGUUUUAAUGGUUGCUCGAAUUAUAAUUAACGGGCAUCUCAGCUUCGGAAAUUCUCAAGAUAAGCCUCCAAUAGAUUAAAAAAGGUUUCCAAGAUAUAUAUACUUCAUCCAUUCCUUUUCAGUUAUCAUGUUUCGUUUCUUAAGAGUGAACUUGAUUAAUUUUUAAAGCUAAAUUAUAUUUGAUUUAUUCAAUAUUUUAAAAUUAAAAUUUGUAUAUUCAAAAAACUAUAUGAAAAGUACUUUAAGUUGUACUUUUUCUUUUAAUAAUAUAAUGAAAAAAUAAUCUAAAAAUAUUGAUCAAAGUUCAUAUUAUUUGAUUCUUCAAAAAGAAAUUAU